AUAAAAAAGCCAAUGGCCGAUGAUCUGAGGCAAGAGAUAGGAGAUCAGACACUGGCAGGAAGAGAGAGAAUUCUGGAAAAUACUGAGAGUGACAGCAAAUGCUGUUGAGGAUGUGGAGAAAGAGGAACACUCCUCCAUUUUUGAUGGGAUUGUAGACGGGUACAACCAUUCUGGAAAUCAGUCUGGAGGUUCCUCAGAAAAUUGGACAUUGAACUACCUGAGGACACAGCUAUACCACUCUUGGGCAUAUACCCAAAAAUUGCACCAACAUAUAAGAAAGACACAUGCUCCACUAAAUUCAUAGCAGCCUUAUUUAUAAUAGCCAGAAGCUGGAAAGAACCCAGAUGUUCUUCAACAGAGGAAUGGAUACAGAAAAUGUGGUACAUCUACACAAUGGAAUAUUUCUCAGCUAUCAAAAACAAUGACUUGAGUUCUCUGCACCCAAAUCCCGUGGAAGGGAGAGCUAAACCUUCAGAGAGGCAGACACACCUGGGAAACCAGAAGAGACUGCACUCUGCACACACAUCUCGGGCACCAGAGGAAAACACCAAAUGCCAUCUGGAACCCUGGUGCACGGAAGCUCCCGGAAACGGUGGCGCAGAUCUUCCUGGUUGCUGCCGCCGCAGAGAGCUCCUGGGCAGCACCCCGCGAGCAAACUUGAGCCUCGGGAUCACAGGUCAUCUCCUGACCACCUUCAGGUCAAGAUGCAGAACUCUUGGCUCCUCUAGCACCAUGCCUGCCUGCACGCUGCCAUGUUUACUGACAUGAUGACAACAGAUUAUAAACUUCUGAAACUGUAAGCCAGCACCAAUUAAAUAUUUGCAUUUAUAAAAGUUGCCUUGGUCAUGAUGUCUCUUCACAGCAGUAAAAUCCUGAGACAUCAUGCAUGUUUUAGAAAAAUGGGUAAUUUGACACUGCUAUUUAAUAAGUGAAAUUGUGAGGAUAUCCCGAGUGACGUGAUAAAAAUUGCCCAAAUUAUUAUUUCCUAUUUCUUUAGUUUUUAUUUGCUUAGGAAUUGUUCCAUUUAAAUUUAUUUGUUCAUUUGUUAAUUUAUGUACUUACUUAGUGUGUGAAUGGUGUGUGUGUGUGUGUGUGUGUGUGUGUGAGAGAGAGAGAGAGAGAGAGAGAGAGAGAGAGAAAGAGAAAGUCUGUUGUAUGAA